rnacentral:rRNA from 1 species
UACGAAGGGGGCUAGCGUUGUUCGGAUUUACUGGGCGUAAAGCGCGCGCAGGCGGCCAUUCAAGUCAGGGGUGAAAGCCCAGAGCUUAACUCUGGAACUGCCUUUGAGACUGUCUGGCUUCGAGUACGGGAGAGGUGAGUGGAAUUCCCAGUGUAGAGGUGAAAUUCGUAGAUAUUGGGAAGAACACCAGUGGCGAAGGCGGCUCACUGGCCCGUUACUGACGCUCAGGCGCGACAGCGUGGGGAUCAAACAGG